rnacentral:rRNA from 1 species
UGGCGUUCAUCUUCGUGAAGGAUAGGUGCACUUUCCUCUUGAUCGGACCACGACCAGCGACUUGUCUUGUCUGACAUCGGUCGGAAGGUAGCGUUGGCUUCGGCGAACGUGUUAUAGCCGCUUAUUUGGAGUGAGCAAGGCGUUGGAUACAAUGUGUUGGCGCUUGCCCGUUCGGGCUCGUACGUUGUCACUUUCUGGCGUGUCGUCGGCUUCACUGCCUUUGGCAGGGGUGUUGGAGACGUGUCGGUUAGGGGCGGCCUCUGCGAUUGGCGUCGAAAGUCUGUGGUUGUGAAGUAGGCAGUCCACCUGACCCGUCUUGAAACACGGACCAAGGAGUCUAACAUGUGCGCGAGUCAUUGGGCUCUACGAAACCUAAAGGCGCAGUGAAAGUAAAGAUCCAUUUUGAUGGAUUGAGGUGGGAUCCUGAGUCACGUGCUCGGGCGCACUACCGGCCCGUUCGACAUGUUGCUUCAUGCGGGCGGAGCAAGAGCGUACACGUUGGGACCCGAAAGAUGGUGAACUAUGCUUGCGCAGGUCGAAGCCAGAGGAAACUCUGGUGGAGGACCGUAGCGAUUCUGACGUGCAAAUCGAUCGUCAAACGUGAGUAUAGGGGCGAAAGACUAAUCGAACCAUCUAGUAGCUGGUUCCCUCCGAAGUUUCCCUCAGGAUAGCUGGCACUCGGGAAACGAAACAGUUUUAUCCGGUAAAGCGAAUGAUUAGAGGUAUUGGGACGAAACUGCUCUCAACCUAUUCUCAAACUUUAAAUGG